rnacentral:lncRNA from 1 species
AUUUCUAGACCUGCCCCUAAAACAUUCCCAUACACAGUCCUGCUGCCUCUUUGUCUCUAAUGAUUCAGUGAAGGUGGAUGUAGUAAACUAGGAAGUCAUGUGAUCAAGAUGGCAUAGCCACAGAAAGGAAGGAGCAGGGGUUACUGCCCAGAGGAGAGCUAUCUGCUGGUCAGGUACACUCCCCUUUAGACACCAUAUGAGGAAGGAAUAAACUUCUGUCAUGUUUAUAUUUUGCAGGUUGGUUAGUAAUGUGAUUGUAGUUAACAUUACCCAAACUAAUACAGAAGGCCUAUAGUUUUCAGUGAUUGAAGGGUUUUGACAGAACCAUGGUUGUAAGAGGUUGAAAUAAAAUGGUGCACAGAAUUGGGAAACAGGAGGCCAUGGAAUAUCUACAUAGAUGUUGAAAUCACAAAGAAGCAUGGGAAUUUGUGCUAUAGAUAAUGACAGUGAGUUCAGGGCUAAAAUAUUUAAGAAAUGUGGAGUGGUUUAGGGAUCUAAAGAUGAGAGAGAGAGAGACAGACAGACAGAGACAAACAGAUACAAAUAGUGUAU